rnacentral:rRNA from 1 species
UACGGAGGGGGCUAGCGUUGUUCGGAAUUACUGGGCGUAAAGCGCGCGUAGGCGGCUUUGUAAGUUAGAGGUGAAAGCCCGGAGCUCAACUCCGGAAUUGCCUUUAAGACUGCAUCGCUAGAAUCAUGGAGAGGUAAGUGGAAUUCCGAGUGUAGAGGUGAAAUUCGUAGAUAUUCGGAAGAACACCAGUGGCGAAGGCGACUUACUGGACACAUAUUGACGCUGAGGUGCGAAAGCGUGGGGAGCAAACAGG